GAUGAACGCUGGCGGCGUGCCUAAUACAUGCAAGUCGAGCGAACGGACGAGAAGCUUGCCUCUCUGAUGUUAGCGGCGGACGGGUGAGUAACACGUGGAUAACCUACCUAUAAGACUGGGAUAACUUCGGGAAACCGGAGCUAAUACCGGAUGAUAUUUUGAACCGCAUGGUUCAAAAGUGAAAGACGGUCUUGAUGUCACUUAUAGAUGGAUCCGCGCUGCAUUAGCUAGUUGGUAAGGUAACGGCUUACCAAGGCAACGAUGCAUAGCCGACCUGAGAGGGUGACCGGCCACACUGGAACUGAGACACGGUCCAGACUCCUACGGGAGGCAGCAGUAGGGAAUCUUCCGCAAUGGGCGAAAGCCUGACGGAGCAACGCCGCGUGAGUGAUGAAGGUCUUCGGAUCGUAAAGCUCUGUUAUUAGGGAAGAACAGAUGUGUAAGUAACUGUGCACAUCUUGACGGUACCUAAACAGAAAGCCACGGCUAACUUCGUG
rnacentral:rRNA from 1 species